rnacentral:lncRNA from 1 species
UCCACAUGGCUGAAGCAGGCAACCAGGAGGUAGGCAGGGCCCGGCCCUGAGGGGCUGAGUUGGGGGAGUCCCAGGUCUCGGGAAGAGUGAUCUCAGGCUGCCCUGCAGGUGUUCCUGGGGGAUCCUGGGACAGCAUCAGGGACGCUGGCCCCCAGUGCUUCCUUCCCGUCUCACAAAUGGGCAUUUGUUCAUCGGCUAAACAACACUUUCUAGACUAUUUGGGGCACUGCACAUGAAGUCUGCAGGGUCGGGGGUUCAUGAUCAGGCUGUCUCUCUCUCACAUAGUUUGGUCAAUACAGGACUGUUCCUAAACAGCAAUGAGACAACCUGGUGCACAAUUCCACAUAUCGAGACCUGUCAUCUUAUUCAGAUCAUAUGGGUGAUACCACAUGCUUCAGAGUGAGGCUGAGCAUGGGUUCCCCUAAACUUACACAAACAAAAUGACUUACAGUGUUUGCCGGCCCUCCGUGCCCUCCAUGCCCUCUCUGAGUCACCAGCAAACAUUCUGUGCCCUGAACUAGAGAAUCAUCACAUUGUCUUUGCCCCAGUUACUUUCCUGGAACAGAUAACAAGCAAACAUCUCUCUGGUUAGUUGCUUCUCAGCUGAAUGGUUAGGGAUCCUGUGCUGAGGUCAGGUCUGCAGGGGUGAGAACCUGAUCCGACAGUGGGACAGCAGGAGGCCAUGGGGGAAUCUGAGGCAGG